GACGUAGGGUGCGAGCGUUGUCCGGAUUUAUUGGGCGUAAAGAGCUCGUAGGCGGCUCGUCGCGUCGACCGUGAAAACCCGCAGCUUAACUGCGGGCUUGCGGUUGAUACGGGCGGGCUAGAGUUCGGUAGGGGAGACUGGAAUUCCUGGUGUAGCGGUGAAAUGCGCAGAUAUCAGGAGGAACACCGGUGGCGAAGGCGGGUCUCUGGGCCGGUACUGACGCUAAGGCGCGAAAGCGUGGGGAGCGAACAGG
rnacentral:rRNA from 1 species